rnacentral:rRNA from 1 species
UGGGGAAUCUUAGACAAUGGGGGCAACCCUGAUCUAGCCAUGCCGCGUGAGUGACGAAGGUCUUAGGAUCGUAAAGCUCUUUCGCCGGGGAAGAUAAUGACGGUACCCGGUAAGGAAGUCCCGGCUAACUCCGUGCCAGCAGCCGCGGUAAUACGGAGGGUGCAAGCGUUAUCCGGAAUCACUGGGCGUAAAGGGCACGUAGGCGGUCUUGUAAGUCCGAUGUUAAAGCGUGGGGCUCAACCCCAUCACGGCGUUGGAUACUGCUAGGCUUGACGACUGGAGAGGUGAGUAGAAUUACCAGUGUAGCGGUGGAAUGCGUAGAUACUGGUAGGAAUACCCAUUGCGAAGGCAGCUCACUGGACAGUACGUGACGCUGAGGUGCGAAAGUGUGGGGAGCAAACCGGAUUAGAUACCCGUGUAGUCC